rnacentral:rRNA from 1 species
UACGUAGGUGGCAAGCGUUGUCCGGAUUUACUGGGCGUAAAGAGCGCGCAGGCGGUCGUUCAAGUCGCGUGUGAAAGCCCCCGGCUCAACUGGGGAGGGUCACGCGAUACUGAUCGACUCGAAGGCAGGAGAGGGUAGUGGAAUUCCCGGUGUAGUGGUGAAAUGCGUAGAUAUCGGGAGGAACACCUGCGGCGAAGGCGGGUUGCUGGGCCGACACGUGACGCUGAUGCGC